rnacentral:rRNA from 1 species
CUUCCAGACUCCUACGGGAGGCAGCAGUGGGGGAUAUUGCACAAUGGGGGAAACCCUGAUGCAGCGACGCCGCGUGUGGGAAGACGGUCUUCUGGAUUGUAAACCACUGUCCCCAGGGACGAAAAUGACGGUACCUGAGGAGGAAGCCACGGCUAACUACGUGCCAGCAGCCGCGGUAAUACGUAGGGAGCGAGCGUUGUCCGGAAUUACUGGGUGUAAAGGGAGCGUAGGCGGGCGAGAAAGUUGAAUGUUAAAUCUACCGGCUUAACUGGUAGCUGCGUUCAAAACUUCUUGUCUUGAGUGAAGUAGAGGCAGGCGGAAUUCCUGGUGUAGCGGUGAAAUGCGUAGAUAUUAGGGGGAACACCAGUGGCGAAGGCGGCCUGCUGGGCUUUAACUGACGCUGAGGCUCGAAAGCGUGGGGAGCAAACAGGAUUAGAUACCCGGGUA